rnacentral:rRNA from 1 species
CCUACGGGGGGCUGCAGUGAGGAAUAUUGGUCAAUGGACGAGAGUCUGAACCAGCAAAGUAGCGUGAAGGAUGACUGCCCUAUGGGUUGUAAACUUCUUUUAUGUGGGAAUAAAAUGUUCCACGUGUGGGAUUUUGUAUGUACCAUAUGAAUAAGGAUCGGCUAACUCCGUGCCAGCAGCCGCGGUAAUACGGAGGAUCCGAGCGUUAUCCGGAUUUAUUGGGUUUAAAGGGAGCGUAGGUGGAUUGUUAAGUCAGUUGUGAAAGUUUGCGGCUCAACCGUAAAAUUGCAGUUGAAACUGGCAGUCUUGAGUACAGUAGAGGUGGGCGGAAUUCGUGGUGUAGCGGUGAAAUGCUUAGAUAUCACGAAGAACUCCGAUUGCGAAGGCAGUUCACUGGACUGCAACUGACACUGAGGCUCGAAAGUGGGGGUAUCAAACAGGAUUAGAUACCCGAGUAGUC